rnacentral:rRNA from 1 species
CCUACGGGUGGCAGCAGUGGGGAAUAUUGGACAAUGGGCGAAAGCCUGAUCCAGCCAUGCCGCGUGUGUGAAGAAGGCCUUCGGGUUGUAAAGCACUUUCAGUGGGGAAGAAAGCCUUGGGGCUAAUACCCUCGAGGAAGGACAUCACCCACAGAAGAAGCACCGGCUAACUCCGUGCCAGCAGCCGCGGUAAUACGGAGGGUGCGAGCGUUAAUCGGAAUUACUGGGCGUAAAGCGCGCGUAGGCGGUCUGAUAAGCCGGUUGUGAAAGCCCCGGGCUCAACCUGGGAACGGCAUCCGGACCUGUCAGGCUAGAGUGCAGGAGAGGAAGGUAGAAUUCCCGGUGUAGCGGUGAAAUGCGUAGAGAUCGGGAGGAAUACCAGUGGCGAAGGCGGCCUUCUGGACUGACACUGACGCUGAGGUGCGAAAGCGUGGGUAGCAAACAGGAUUAGAUACCCGAGUAGUC